AUACCAGCCUCCUCGAGGAUACUCACGAUAGACAAGACUGAUGGAUUCUAUUGUUUGGUGCAUUUCACAACAAAUACAUGGGUACAAUUGCCCUAGCUAGAGGAGGUAGGGGUCUAUUGUGGGGUACUGAAUGAGAACAAUAGAAUGACUUGUUCGUCUCUCAAAAA